CGGACGGGUGAGUAACGCGUGGGUAACCUGCCUCACACUGGGGGAUAACAGUUAGAAAUAGCUGCUAAUACCGCAUAAGCGCACGGUUCCGCAUGGAACAGUGUGAAAAACUCCGGUGGUGUGAGAUGGACCCGCGUCUGAUUAGCUAGUUGGUGGGGUAACGGCCCACCAAGGCGACGAUCAGUAGCCGACCUGAGAGGGUGAUCGGCCACAUUGGGACUGAGACACGGCCCAA
rnacentral:rRNA from 1 species